GGUAGAACAGUGGAGAGCAGGGACUGCUGCUGGCUUUCAAACAGGGUUUUUUGUGUAUCUGUUGAUUUGUUAAUUUAGUUUUUGGUGGAUCUUUGCUUAGAUAUUUAAUUCAUGGUGUAGUUUAAGAAUUAAUCUCAUGGUUUAGAUUGUAGAAGCUGUUUUUUGUCAGAGAAGCCUUAAAUUGGAGGGUAACAGAAGGAUCUAACCUGAAACACCGGACCUCUCGCUCUGCAACACCUCUUCCUGUUUUCGUGCACACGUAGAGAGGAGGAGCUGAGGCACAGUGUUAGCCUUCAGGCAAACUGAACCCUGAAUAUUCAAAAUGAUGCAAAACUCAAAACAGAUGAGUUAUAAAAAAGAAAUCCACACCCUGCAGAGUGUUUACGAACAACUAGAUGAGCCAUUAAGACCAAACGGUUAUUUGUGCCUCAGUGUGAACAUGUUAUGCAUCUUAAUACAGUGUUUAAAGGGGAUUCCUCUGAAUCAGCCUCUUAUCUCCUCACAGGAGGAGGGGACACCUUCCUUUGUUUUAUCUCUAUAUCUGCAGUGUUCAGUGGUUUUAGAUUUAAACCAGCCCCACAAGGACGAGAGGGAAGUAUUGAAAGCUUUCUGAGCAACAUGAGUUUCAUACAGUUAGAUUCAGAAGCUUUAUUUGAAUACAGGGACAAAUAUUCAACACUCUCUGAUAGGGCCACAUGGUUAGAUGUGUUGAAUGUAGCAAAACAAGUGGGAAACAAAGGGACUUUUAAAAAUAAGAACUCAAAGCUGUUCGUGACAAAGUGAAGCAGGGCUGCGUGACUCAGUGUGUCCGUACCUGGUGAGCCCUGCAGAUCAGGUCCAGGUCGUGCCGGUUGAGGAACUUGCUGACCACAUCAGCCCCGAAUGUGAAGGAGACGCCACGGUCGUUUUCCCCCCAGCCCUGCACGUCUUUGUCCGGGUCCGACCACAGCAGAUCACACAGGAGGCCUGGAGGGACAAACACACACACACAUUAGAAAGACCAUUCUCACCGCUUCACGCCGUCUGAGAGGAAACCCAGACCUGAUUCAUCUCCAUGUUUGACCCCGAGCUGAGCCGCAGAGGGGAGUUCAGUUUUCUGCUCACUUUACAUAACGCCAUGUUUUAAAACACAGCCUGCCCGUGUAAACACACACAUUCUUCACAGCCACACACUCAGAGUCUCCAUGAAAGACCAUAAGAGGAUCUGAGAGACAGCUGCUGCCAGUGUCUGAACACUGCCUGCCUUAUAAGGACAAGAACCACAAGGACCUGACUCCAGGGGUCAAAACUCCCACAUAUGCAUGAUCAUGUCUACCAAACAUUUCUUCAAGAGAGGUAAACCUUUAAUGAGACGAUACUUUAUGAUGAAGAUUAAAUCAUUGGAUUCAUCUUUUAACCGCCUCACUGUCGUAUGAACACAUCUGUCCUCCCUCAGAGUGCGUGCUGCUCUCUGUUGAUAUUUAGAGGAGCAGGAGAUGUUCGUGGAGGAGGUGGAGAGGUUGGAGGAGUCGGCUCUAAGUUAAGAAAGUCGACUUUACUUCGAGGGCUAAAAGUAGAAGCAGACCUGCGUCACUCUGAGAACUCUUGGCCCGUUACGGUCGAUUUCCUGCCCCGAGAAGUUUGAUGAAAACAGGCCUGGAUCUGUUUUGAUCCCCACACUGUUCACUUGUGUAACCUGACAGGACAGGAGCUGUUUGAUCACUCAGCGAGGUAGAGGGUGUAACCUGCAUCAAGAUUUUAUCUCUGGAUUACUUUCAUGUCAAACUU